CCUACGGGAGGCAGCAGUAGGGAAUAUUGCUCAAUGGGGGAAACCCUGAAGCAGCAACGCCGCGUGGAGGAUGAAGGUUUUCGGAUUGUAAACUCCUUUUGUUAGAGAAGAUAAUGACGGUAUCUAACGAAUAAGCACCGGCUAACUCCGUGCCAGCAGCCGCGGUAAUACGGAGGGUGCAAGCGUUACUCGGAAUCACUGGGCGUAAAGGGCGCGUAGGCGGGAUAGCAAGUCAGAUGUGAAAUCCUAUGGCUUAACCAUAGAACUGCAUUUGAAACUGUUAUUCUAGAGUAUGGGAGAGGUAGGUGGAAUUCUUGGUGUAGCGGUGAAAUCCGUAGAGAUCAAGAGGAAUACUCAUUGCGAAGGCGACCUGCUAGAACAUAACUGACGCUGAUGCGCGAAAGCGUGGGGAGCAAACAGGAUUAGAUACCCUAGUAGUC
rnacentral:rRNA from 1 species